GGUAGUGAAACAUCUACUUUAUCAACCAUAGUAGUUCCGUUUUGUUGUAAUUCGUUUUCCGCACCUAUCGAGGGCGACACAGGUCGUUCAUCUACUUGCGUUAACCUUGAUCUCGGUUCCUCUGUUUUCGGAGAGAGAGACAGAGAGAGAGAGAGAGAGAAGAAAUUCGGUGUACGAUGAAUUUAUCGUAUUAUACACAAAACACUCGUCCGUCAAUUUAAAAGCCAGGCACAAGAUUACAUUGACAAACGCACGCGAACGUUGUCAGGAAACGGAUCGCGCACUCGGGUCACUCCGUAGUUACCGCGCAGUAGUUACCGGAAACAGGCUGGCGAUGUCGCACCAUGAAGAAGAAGGUGGCUGGUCGUUGUGCAGCAGCGUUCGAAGUUUCUCGGACAUGAUCGGGGAUAAAAAUAUUUGGAAUAUACACAACACGCGAGGACUACGACGUCAACGACGACGACAAUGAAGACACGACGUUGAUCCCAAACGCAGGCUCACCCGACGACUUCUGACCGUGAGUUACGAUGACCGCCAUGAAAUCGCAAGUGCACGGUAUAAUUGAUGUAGAAUGACCUUGUGCGACGCGAUCGACCGCACUUGCAAGAAGUUACCAAGCAUACCGCUCCACUAAGGAACACUAAGGAACACGAGCACACAUGUUUUUUAUUGUCAACAUUGAAGAAACCGCUCGCGAUUCACUUUAUCCAUUCACGCUGACGAUGCGACGACUGUCACGGUGAACAUUAUGGAUGCGGAUAUUCAAGUCCAUCGAAUCAUAUGAGCUGACCUAUUGACACAUUGACUGCCGAUAUGCCAACGAUGAUACAUUGAUACAUCGCAGCUCGUGUAAGACAAACAUCAAAGACUAUCUUGGAUUAUAUAUGGAUGAACGUUCCGAAGAGCGGCUCGUCGCUUCUCGACGGAGGAAAAUGUCAUAACUCUCAUAUGUUCGUACGACUAAACAAAUUUCGCUUUCCGAGCUUCUGUGCUGGACAAACGCUUCGUUAAACGCGUAUCAAGUCGGUGCAAGAGGUUCUCACCGUGUUUGUCGGAUAAAUUAGGAAACGUGAUUAUCCAAUUUCGAAGGAUCGGCGAUUUUUACGCAAUGAAAAUACAUAACAUGGACCCGAUAGUUUUAGUUGUUGUAACGUGAGAAUAUUUCUUACUCUUAUUUUAAUACUCGGACUCUCCACGAGAUUUUGACAGGGAAAGGAUCAAUUUUUCGCAUCUCUAAACACGAAUUGCAAGCUUAAUUUUGCAAGUUCGACUCCAAGUUUAAUUACAAUUGCAAUUUUAGCCGCAAGCUCCCCGCAAACUAUGCAUUACCUCUCGCACCUCGACUCCGGGAUAUUGCGAUUUAUUGCCGAAUCAAAGCCGUGUGGUGCUGAUGUGGUACAACCAGUGAUUUACAUCUGUAUGACUCUCUCUUUCUUUUACACGUACACACACAUACGUUAACGCAUACGUGAACAGCUGCACGUGCGCGAGAACGGUACAUGUGUAAAGGUCGAUUCACACUAUACGGCACGUGGGCCGUCGCGUACCGGCAACGACACGACAAAUUGCAAAUGCAUAUGUUCAAUGCACUGUCCCGGUAACUGUCCGUCAAUUCGCUGAGUUGCAGUCACAAUGGAUGGAUCAUCCAGCGACGAUAAAUUGGCUCUCACAAUCUUAUUUUUAGACGAAGAGGAAGCCGAACUGAAAAUAAAAAUAAAAAAAAAGAAAUCGAAAAUGGGUACAUGCAAUGUUAAAAAAGGGAAAACUCGGAGGAGAACAUUGGACAUUGUUCAAAGACUUACUAAACUGUGACGACAAGUUUUAUAGUAUUUUAGAAUGCCGCAAUUGUAAAUUGUUAAACGAUUUGUUAAAAAAUUAAUUGAACCUGUACUACAGAAACAAAAUGCAUCGUCCCGUGAGGCAAUUUCACCGACAGAAUAUUAACACUUUCGCUUAAUUUUUCCUGCUCCAUCCUCUGCUGCGUCCGUUUUCUAUUUUUCUUUCUAGCUUUCUUCUGACAAGUAACACUAGAGAAGUGCCGUACGGCGGUUUUCCUGAAACUUGGCAUACAAGUAGUACGUGGAAAACUAUUGGACAUGUAUAUUGUUAUAUCGGCCCGAAAGCCGUUUGAAGGGUAGAAAUCACCCUUAUCGAUUUUGGAGGAUGAACGACGUGGACGUGAUAGGGUUCUCUCAUCCCAUUGGAGUGCUUUUUGAACGUGAGUCCCCUCGCCUCAUAAGGUGCCUGCGUACGUGCCUCGUAUCGUACAAGCGACCCAGGCUCGAAUCCUACCCUACGGAAAGUUUUUUUAUUUGUUUUUAAAUUUAAGUGCGAGCGUUAAAAAAUUUACAAUUUGUGUAUAGGAAAAAAUGUUAAUUUGUAUGGAGAUUGCGUUAUAAAUAACUGUAUAUAGACGAAAAGAAAUCAAUUUAAAAGAAUUAAUU
rnacentral:lncRNA from 1 species